rnacentral:lncRNA from 10 species
GGGCAAGACUCCAUCUCCAAAAAAAAAAAAAAAAAAAAAAAAAAAAAAAUCUAUAUGUCACACACUAUGUGCCAGGCAACAGCAAUAGAAGCCCCAAUUAUUAGCUACCUACCAUGUGCCAGGUGUCAUGCCAAGGGCUUCAUACAAUAACAGCAAAUGCACUUAUUUACUGGCCACCUACUGUAGGUCAGGCAUGGUGCCAAGGGCUUCAUAAUAAUUUACGGAAAAUAUGGUAAAAUUUUUCUUGUAGUAAAAGCAUUUAUUUACUGAACACUUGUGCUACCAGGGACCCAAAGCCCAUCCCAAAAGCUUACUUCAACUAGGACCAUCCAAUUGGCCUCACUUGAAAAUAAUGCCCAUGUCUUGAGCACCUACUGUGUGCCAGAUAGAAUGUCAAGGGCUUUAUCAAGUAAUAAUAAAAGUGCCUGUUUAUUGGACACCUACUGGUGUCAGGUACCAGGCUCAGGACUUCAUAGCUCAUAUUGAGCACCUACUGUGUGCCAAAAUCUUUAAAGAUCACAGCACUUCUGUGUUCAGUCCCAACUAUGCACCUGGCACCACACUACAUCUACUACUAACCUAUCAACAGCAAGUCUCAUUUAUUGAACAUCUACUAUGGACUGGGUACGGUAACAGGUCUCUGAAGAGAAAAACAGCAGUUGUCAUUUAAGCAGCACCUACUAUGUGCCAGGCACUGUGCCAAAGGCUCUCUCAGAAAACAGUAGUAGUCCCUGCAUAUUAAACCCCUACUGCGUGCCAGGCACUGUGCUAAGGGCUGUAUCAGAAAAGUUAAUAGUCCCCAUGUAUUAGGCCCCUACUGUGUGCCAGGCACUGUGUUAAAGGCUUCAUCAGAAAACGAUAGUAGUCACCACAUAUUAAGCACCUAUUGUGUGCCAGGUGCUGUGCUGGGGCUUACUGAAAAACAGUAAGUUUCCACAUAUGAAGCACCUACUAUGUGUCAGGCAACUCUACUAAGGGCCUUACGGAAUGUUAAUAGUUUUCAUUUCUUUCUUUCUUUUUUUUUUUUUUUUUGAGACAGUCUUGCUCUGUCGCCCAGGCUGGAGUGCAGUGGCGCGAUCUCGGCUCACUGCAAGCUCUGCUGCUCGGGUUCACGCCAUUCUCCUGUCUCAGCCUCCC